CCUACGGGUGGCAGCAGUGGGGAAUAUUGCACAAUGGGCGAAACCCUGAUGCAGCGACGCCGCGUGAGUGAAGAAGUAUUUCGGUAUGUAAAGCUCUAUCAGCAGGGAAGAAAAUGACAGUACCUGACCAAGAAUCCCUGGCUAUUAACGUGCCAGCAGCCGCGGCAAGACGUAGGGUGCGAGCGUUAUCCGGAUUUACUGGGUGUAAAGGGAGCGUAGACGGUUAUGUAAGUCUGGAGUGAAAGCCCGGGGCCCAACCCCGGGACUGCUUUGGAAACUGUGUAACUGGAGUACAGGAGAGGCAGGCGGAAUGCCUGGUGUAGCGGUGAAAUGCGUAGAUAUCAGGAGGAACACCGGCGGCGAAGGCGGCCUGCUGGACUGAAACUGACGUUGAGGCUCGAAAGCGUGGGGAGCAAACAGGAUUAGAUACCCUAGUAGUC
rnacentral:rRNA from 1 species